UACGGGGGGAGCAAGCGUUGUUCGGAUUUACUGGGCGUAAAGGGCGCGUAGGCGGCCACCGCAAGUCGACUGUGAAAUCUCCGGGCUUAACCCGGAAAGGUCAGCCGAUACUGCGGGGCUAGAGUGCAGAAGGGGCAACUGGAAUUCUCGGUGUAGCGGUGAAAUGCGUAGAUAUCGAGAGGAACACCUGCGGCGAAGGCGGGUUGCUGGGCUGACACUGACGCUGAGGAGCGAAAGUGUGGGGAGCGAACAGG
rnacentral:rRNA from 1 species